GACAGAGGGUGCAAACGUUGUUCGGAAUUACUGGGCGUAAAGCGCGUGUAGGCGGCCCUGCAAGUCGGAUGUGAAAUCCCACGGCUCAACCGUGGAAGUGCAUUCGAAACUGCAGGGCUAGAGUCCUGGAGAGGAAGGUGGAAUGCUUGGUGUAGAGGUGAAAUUCGUAGAUAUCAAGCGGAACACCGGUGGCGAAGGCGGCCUUCUGGACAGUGACUGACGCUGAGACGCGAAAGCGUGGGGAGCAAACAGGAUUAAGAAACC
rnacentral:rRNA from 1 species